rnacentral:lncRNA from 1 species
UGAAAUUAAAGUAUAAGAAUUAAACCAUGUCUCCUGUGGUAUAUUCAGUACCUCUCCCAAAUCCUAACAGAUCAGCAGUACACCAUGAUUCAAGUAUACAACCCUCGAUUCCAAUGGUCACAACCAAACAUCACAUCUUCCACCUUCCUAAAUCCGCUUUUACUUGGCAUCGUGAGGUCAACAGUGAACAUUUCAAGGCGAAAUCGCCAGUCGUGCU